rnacentral:rRNA from 1 species
GAUGAACGCUGGCGGCGUGCCUAAUACAUGCAAGUCGAGCGAACAGACGAGGAGCUUGCUCCUCUGACGUUAGCGGCGGACGGGUGAGUAACACGUGGAUAACCUACCUAUAAGACUGGGAUAACUUCGGGAAACCGGAGCUAAUACCGGAUAAUAUAUUGAACCGCAUGGUUCAAUAGUGAAAGACGGUUUUGCUGUCACUUAUAGAUGGAUCCGCGCCGCAUUAGCUAGUUGGUAAGGUAACGGCUUACCAAGGCAACGAUGCGUAGCCGAACGGAGAGGGGGAUCGGCCACACUGGAACUGAGACACGGUCCAGACUCCUACGGGAGGCAGCAGUAGGGAAUCUUACGCAAUGGGCGAAAGCCUGACGGAGCAACGCCGCGUGAGUGAUGAAGGUCUUCGGAUCGUAAAACUCUGUUAUUAGGGAAGAACAAAUGUGUAAGUAACUAUGCACGUCUUGACGGUACCUAAUCAGAAAGCCACGGCUAACUACGUG